CUGGAGCCCAGCGUGGGGCACGGAUGACCCCACAGUGGGGCAGGACCCCACAACCCUGAAGAAAUUGGAGAUAGGACGCCAGGGGUGACUUGGGACCCAGAAGGGGGCCAACUUCGGAUAAAGAAAAUUCACUUUCACUGUUCCUGAAUAUAACCAUGACAGACCCACAGCCAGAUAUCAGUGGCAUGUCCUGCCUCAGUCUACUGCUGGUGAAACCGAAGAAAACAAACCGUGAACCAAAACGCUCAACUUAUGUCUGUCUUUUGACAUGUUCAAUCUCAGCCAUGCAAUAUUUAAGGAAAGGAGGAAGGCCUUUGUCUUCUCACGUGUCUGAACGCAGAAUGGGAAAGCACCUGCCCCCAGGUCUGAAUGCAGCAUGGGGAGGCACCAGCUUGAGAACAACAGGUGCAGGCCUUGGACAUUAUCUGCCCACGAAAGCAUAUCUUGCCCUCGAAAACGAGCCAGGACGCCUCACCCUGAAAACAGGGAGACCUUGAGGAUGUGUGAAAGCACCGCACUUGCUUACUGGGCAGAUUCUAAGAAAAUCAACAAGGUGUUCUGGCCUGUCCCCCCUGAGAAGGGAAAGAUGAGUAUAGCACUUGGCUGAGGUCCGAGAAAGGCAGUAGAAAAAUAAAGGAACUGCACCACAUUGGGGCUACAGCCAUUGUCUGUCUGUGUUGUCUGUGUUUUUUGUUCACUCCCUUUUCACCCGUGCAAGCAGCUCGCUACAAAGUGUAUAUUAAUGAUACCAAAAAACAAACA